ensembl:snRNA U6 U6 spliceosomal RNA
UUACAUAGAAAGAACUAAAAAUACUAAAAUUGGAACGAUACCGAAAAGAUUAGCAUGGCCCCUGCACAAGAUGACAUGCAAAUUCGUGAAGCAUUCCAUAUUUUU